AGAGUUUGAUCCUGGCUCAGAUUGAACGCUGGCGGCAUGCCUUACACAUGCAAGUCGAACGGCAGCGGGACCUUCGGGUGCCGGGGAGUGGCGAACGGGUGAGUAAAGUAUCGGAACGUACCUUUCAGUGGGGGAUAACGUAGCGAAAGUUACGCUAAUACCGCAUAUUCUGUGAGCAGGAAAGCAGGGGAUCGCAAGACCUUGCGCUGAUUGAGCGGCCGAUAUCACAUUAUCUAGUUGGUGAGGUAAAGGCUCACCAAGGCGACGAUCUGUAGCGGGUCUGAGAGGAUGAUCCGCCACACUGGAACUGAGACACGGUCCAGACUCCUACGGGAGGCAGCAGUGGGGAAUUUUGGACAAUGGGGGCAACCCUGAUCCAGCCAUGCCGCGUGAGUGAAGAAGGCCUUCGGGUUGUAAAGCUCUUUCGGCCGGGAAGAAAUCGCUUAGGCUAAUAUCCUGAGUGGAUGACGGUACCGGAAUAAGAAGCACCGGCUAACUACGUGCCAGCAGCCGCGGGUAAUAAA
rnacentral:rRNA from 1 species